rnacentral:snRNA from 1 species
AUACUUACCUGGCAGGGGAGAUGCCAUGAUCACAAAGGUGGUUUUCCCAGGGCGAGGCUUAUCCAUUGCACUCCGGAUGUGCUGACCCCUGUGAUUUCCCCAAAUGCGGGAAACUCGACUGCAUAAUUUGUGGUAGUGGGGGACUGCUUUUGCACUUUCCCA